GCCNUGCCGCGUGCAGGAAGAAUGCCCUAUGGGUAGUAAACUGCUUUUAUACGGGAAGAAAAAAGAGUACGUGUACUCUACUGACGGUACCGUAAGAAUAAGGACCGGCUAACUCCGUGCCAGCAGCCGCGGUAAUACGGAGGGUCCGAGCGUUAUCCGGAAUUAUUGGGUUUAAAGGGUCCGUAGGCGGGUCGAUAAGUCAGGGGUGAAAGUUUGCAGCUCAACUGUAAAAUUGCCUUUGAUACUGUUGGUCUUGAGUUAUAGUGAAGUUGCCGGAAUAUGUAGUGUAGCGGUGAAAUGCAUAGAUAUUACAUAGAACACCGAUUGCGAAGGCAGGUGACUAACUAUAUACUGACGCUGAUGGACGAAAGCGUGGGGAGCGAACAGGAUUAGAUACCCUGGUAG
rnacentral:rRNA from 1 species